rnacentral:rRNA from 1 species
UACGGGGGGGGGGCAAGCGUUGUUCGGAAUUACUGGGCGUAAAGGGCUCGUAGGCGGCCAACUAAGUCAGACGUGAAAUCCCUCGGCUUAACCGGGGAACUGCGUCUGAUACUGGAUGGCUUGAGGUUGGGAGAGGGAUGCGGAAUUCCAGGUGUAGCGGUGAAAUGCGUAGAUAUCUGGAGGAACACCGGUGGCGAAGGCGGCAUCCUGGACCAAUUCUGACGCUGAGGAGCGAAAGCCAGGGGGAGCAAACGGG